ACCUACGGGGCGCAGCAGUCGAGAAUCAUUCACAAUGGGGGAAACCCUGAUGGUGCGACGCCGCGUGGGGAAUGAAGGUCUUCGGAUUGUAAACCCCUGUCAUGUGGGAGCAAAUUAAAAAGAUAGUACCACAAGAGGAAGAGACGGCUAACUCUGUGCCAGCAGCCGCGGUAAUACAGAGGUCUCAAGCGUUGUUCGGAAUCACUGGGCGUAAAGCGUGCGUAGGCUGUUUCGUAAGUCGUGUGUGAAAGGCGCGGGCUCAACCCGCGGACGGCACAUGGUACUGCGAGACUAGAGUAAUGGAG
rnacentral:rRNA from 1 species